ensembl:lncRNA
UUUUUUUCUUCUCAGUUAGUACUUUCAAUAGUAAGGUCCUUCAAAGGUUCAGCAUGAAUUUCCUGCUCUUGCAAAUGUUAAUGAACAGUUGAUUACAGGCAAAGUAUUUUAAGAUGCUUCAAAAUAUCCUAUUGAAGAAACACAUCUUCAUUAUUUAUGUCACCAUUUUUUUCUUAGCUUCAAGAUUCAUCUGUAAAUAUUUGAUAUAAUUUUUGAGAUCUUUAUUAAAAUUAUUACAAAUUGGUUGGUAAAUCAAUGGAUAGUUACUCUUUGAUAUCUGCAACAAUAAGUUACUUGAAUCUAUUUGAUGCCUAUUUGUUUUACGGAAAGGAAAAUAUUAUGUAGUUCUUUCUCAAAUGCCCCAAAGAAAUUCAAACGUGCUACAUCAAUAUCUUUAUCUUGAUCAGGUUCGAUAUGGUUCGAUAACAGCAACAUGCAAUGGCAAGAUAAAUUCCAUGUCACUGAAUAUAACUUCAUUUUAUUCCAAGCUAUAAUAUUAUGAAAUACCUUUUAUACACUAUUCUAUAGAAAAGCAGAUACAAUUGCCUGAUAACUACAACUAGUCUGGUAUGUCAAACAUUAUUAUAAUUAUGACUAAAAGUUUUCUUCUAAAUUCGAGCCAGAGUUUGUUAAUUUUAACAGCUCUUGUCGCACUGUUAUCAUUUGUUUUUAAGUCAUUUGUCAUCUUGAUAUUCAGUCCGAGAUAUAUUUUGAAACAGAAUAUGCUGUUAGUUUUGUUUGUUUGUUUGUUUGUUUGCUUGUAUUCAUUUGAAAUGUUAAUGAAACACAAUUUUCUUGCUCUUGGCUAAUAAAAUGGUUUCAUUGUUCUUAGAUUAUCAUAGAAAUUAAUGUCACCAUCUAUAUUAUCACCUGAAAAAUGGCAAGUUUACUAUGUAAGCCAAGUAGAUAGCCAUUAUUCAUUAUUUUCUCUUUUAUGUACUGGGCUACUGUUUUACCACCGCAGUGUUUUCUCUACAAUUGAAAUCAGGUAAAACAGUCUUUACUUUUUGCAAGAUCUGCCUGCCCUGCUUAAAAAUGUAUACUAGACUGGUAAUCUUUUCAAUCAAGAAGUUCCUUGGCUCCACUGUUUGGUUUAUGUGUGUAUGUGUUUAUUAUUUUUUUAGUACUGUUUCCUACUCAGGAAGAUCUUCAAGUAAAUGGGAUGACUUCAAAAUGUUCAAUUUCAACAAAUCUUGCUUAUAAUCACCUUUGUUAGAAAUGAUGUUUUCUAUUUUAUUCACAGCAUCAUGUCAAGCAAAAAUAAAUACUGAGCAUUUUUCUUUGCUGUGUAUCCCUAUUCCUUACAUUUCCUUUCCACAUGUAGCAGUGAGCGCAUACAUUACUUAUGGACUCGCCUUCAUCAUAAUAUGCCAACUUACUGGGCCAUGACUUACAAUUUUUACUGGGCCAUUUAGACUUCAGUGUUUGCUUUACUUUCCUUAUCAGCUGGGUGCAUUAACUUUGUUAUUUGUAUUCAUUACAUUCAAGUGGUUAUUUUUACAUGUAAUAUUGCAUUAUAUAAGCAAUAAAACUGGAAUAGUCAUUUUCACUUCUUUUAAUCAAGACAGUGUGUAAUAAAAGAUUAUCUGUGUUUAUGAAAUCACAGAUUCCUGAACACCCAGCAAGAUGCCCUUGAAGAAUUUUCAGUGUCUAUUAACAAUUCCUUCUUUAUCAUUUCAUAUAAAAUAUCAUUAAGUAUUGGGAUUAAAUUUAUCACUUGAUAUAGAACAUAAUCAGUGGUAGGAUGUUAAUAUAAUCUCUUGAAUUCAGAGAAGGACUUGCCUUUGCCUUUUUAAGUGAUUAUAAUUGAUGAGAAAAUCCAAAGAGUUUCAGAAGUUUAAUGACGUUGAAAAGACUAGGUGAUUUUUUUGUAGAUGUAGAUACCUUUUCUACUUCCCUGAUGUAGUCAUAUUUGCUUCUAAGACCAAUAACUGUUUACUUUAAAUUUGCUACUUUCUUUAACAGACCAUUUCUAACUUCCAGUAAAAAAACAAAAAUAAAAAUAAAAAUGAAAGCAUAAAAGCAUGGGUUGCUAAAACAUUUCUAAGUUUAUCAAAGCAAGAACUGAAUGUACAUAAUAUUACCUAGAAGGUACACCAUAUCCUUAGCAAGUUGUUGCAAGAAAAUACUUUUUUGUUAAAUGAAAAUGCUUAAGAUAAUGUUGCUCAGAGUAGGGUCAGCGAGAACAUGUUGCCUAGGACCAUGUCCAGGAGGCUUUUGAAGAUAGCCAAGAAGGAGACUCCACAAUCUCUUUAGGAAGUCUGUUCUAGUGUUCUAUCACUUGUACAGCACAGAAAGUCUUCUCAAUGUGCAUACGGAACCUUCUGUGUUCCAGUUUGUGCCGAUUACCUUUUGUCCUGCCUUUGGAAGCCACCGAAAAUGCCUGGCUCCAUCUUCUUCACGCUCUUCCUUCUCUAGGCUGAACAUUUCCAUCUCUGUCAGUCUUUUCUCACAGAGGUGCUCCAGUUCAAUCACCAUCUUUUCCUUUUAUUGAACUUCAUGAUAUUCAUGUUAGUCUACUUCUCCAGCCUGUCCAAGUCCUUACAAGUGGCAUCAAAAUAACUGGUUGUGAAUUCACUGAUGUGAAUCAGCACAGGAGGGAUUUCAGACAUAUAGGUCUAUAGGACCAUGAGACUCACAUACACGUAUUUCUGGCAUUUUUGUUCAUCCAGUAAGUUCAAAUUCAGAUUCUGAAACUAUAAUGUCCUCAAGAAAGGCUUUUAAGCUGUGUUUUCUGAUAUUUAAGAGCUCAUUUUGUUGCUUCCAGGCAUUCUGAAUUCUUUUCUUUUCAGGUAAUGGGUUCAUCCCUACUUACUGUUUAGGUACGGAAUUGAAAACAUCUGUGCUCCUAGUUAUAAUAGACUGACUAAUGGCAAGAGUAUACAUCAUCACUUCAGUCUGUAGAGAAAUUUCUAGUUUCAAGGUCGUAAGUUGAAAAAAAGCAUUAGCUCUUUAAAAGAGACAUUGAGGCAAAGGGGGAAGAAUUUGAAGGAAUAUUGUCAUAAUCCCUCCAUCUGGCGAGGAACACACUGUCAUCUGCUGUCCUUAUAAGAAACACAGUGAUUAAAUAUGGCUAAGCACUCAGGCUAGUUGUGAUUUUUUAAUUAAAAGAAAAGUAAUCUAUUUUUUUGUUUUGUUUUGUUUUUAAUCAUAUGAAAAAGAUGUAUUGUCAACCUUUGUGCACAAAUGCAAUUAAAUUCAAAUGCUGACUAAGCCUCUUAAGCAGAGAACAAAACCCAGCAAGGUUUUCUUUAGGCUUUCCUACAGAAACAUAGAAACACCUGCAGUGAACUGCAUUUGUUAAUGGGUGGUAUUUUACGUAGCAACACAUUAUUUGAUUUUCCUUUUUUAAAAAUACCUAUACACUGUCACCUUGGUAGGUCCUUUCAAUACAACACAGCUUGUAUAGCACAGACUUGACUGAAUCAGGUCCUAGGAGGAAGAAAAAGUGUCAGCUGUUGAGGAGUGUGUAAGGGCUUUGUUAGUCUGAUAUUUGUAAAAUCUCUCUCAGUGCAAGAAUAAGCUCCUUAUUUUCUACCUUUCUUAUUUUUUACCUUUCUUAUUUUCUAUCUUCCAUUUUCCUCCCUUAAAAAGCAGCUGCAGGCCAUCAUAAAAAGAACAAUACUAUGUUAGGAUGGACUUGUGGAGUGUGACCACAGCCCUCUUUACAAACAUACC